UACGAAGGGGGCGAGCGUUGUUCGGAUUUACUGGGCGUAAAGGGCGCGCAGGCGGCUUUGUUUGUCAGGCGUGAAAGCCCCGGGCUUAACCUGGGAAUGGCGUUUUGGGACUGGAUAGCUGGAGUACGGCAGAGGGAGGUGGAAUUCCACGUGUAGCAGUGAAAUGCGUAGAGAUGGUGGAGGAACACCGAUGGCGAAGGCAGCCUCCUGGGCCAGUACUGACGCUCAUGCACGAAAGCGUGGGGAGCAAACAGG
rnacentral:rRNA from 1 species